CAAUGGAAUGAUUGAAAUAGGUACGGGAUUAAAAUGUAAACUUAUGGAAGCGCGUUUUAAAUUAACCACAAAAACCUCUUUUCUCUUAAAAGUAUUGAAUAUCUUUCUUGUCUAGAAACUUCAACGCUGCAGGUCACGGCCACACUGUGACAUCACUUUCUCUCUAAUGAUGUCACACAUUCGACGUUCCACAACAUUUAUUUAGUAUGCUUAGUGUGAGUUUUUUAACGUUCUCGAUAGCGUUAAAGUUAACUCAAAUUUGUAUGGACUCGGAACGUUUGCCGCUAGGAGCGCUGUUUCAAUUGCAUACAAAUUUGAGUUAACUUUUACGAUAUCGAGAAUGUUAAAAAACUCGCACUAAACACAUAGAAACACAACACGAUUUUGUGUGAUACCGAUCUUGUGAGAUAAAAGUCAUAGGCUGGGCGGUGGACGUCGGACCAAGUGUGAUCAAAUAUUGAUAGAAAUUUGAAACGAAGCAUUUUAAAAUCAACAAGUCAUAAAAGCAAGGUCGAUAAACUCAUGAACAUCAAUACGUCUUGAUACUCAAAUAUACUUAGCGGAGUUGACGGAAAAAAUCAAGAGCAGUACAGAUUUAUUAUUUAACAGUCGGCUACUUAAAAGAGUUGCAUCGGAUGACAAAAUAAAAUCGUAAUUACUCAUUUCCGAGAACGGAACGUCAGCGAAACUUGCCCGUGAGACAGAAAAUAAUAACCGAACACCAGUUUUAGCCACUAAAACAUUACGAAAUUAUCGUGUUUUAUAUUUCGCUUCAUUUACGUAAAUUAUGUUCACAAGUAGGUUCCAAUUUUAUUUGAACAUUGAAACUGUAAGUCACUGUGAUCAAUUUCUUGUACAAUAUCCUGUAGUUAUCAAUUAUCUAGUUAGUAGAUUAUUUAUUAUAGGCCUACGUUUGAUCGGUACUUUUUAUUAGCAUAAGGUUGUAUAUUUAUAGUUGUAUAUUUCUUAAGACUCAAUAGCAUUGGAAUAAUAUCAAGAAGCACCCAAAACUAUCUGUACAAUAAUACAAUUUUCAAUCGUAUUUUUAUUGUUAUCCAGCCAAGAAUGGGAAUACAUACAUACAUUAAAAUACCUGAACUUGCAAAUA